UUUUUUUCAUUCUCUUUCUUUCUUUCUUUCUUUCUCUCAAUCUCUCUUUUGUCUUCUCUUUAUCGGGCAGGAGAAGAAGGAGAGGGAGGGCGAGAGGGUGAAGAAGAGGAAUCAGUACUUUUUUUCGUUUUUUUCUCUUUUUU
rnacentral:ribozyme from 13 species